GCUGGAAAAUGAGUAAUAGCCCACACCUGGCAGCACACAGCCCCCAUGAGGGCCAUCGCCCUGUCUGUUGAGCUCUGGUGGGGGGAACAUGGAGAGGGCAGGUGGCUAGGCUGGCUACAGCAGAGGGCUGGUGUUUGGGCAGGGAGCCAUUUUGGUGCACUCAACUCACAGUGCUGAGGGUCCCCUGCACGGAGCAGUGCCUCAGGGAGCCCCAGGCAGCCCCCCUGUACACUAAUAACUGACUCUUGCUUGAAGCAUUGCUGUUCUAUUAUAUGGCUUGCAGGGAAGCUGAAGAAGCAGCUCAGAGCAAGGUCUCUGAGGCAGGUGGCCCCAGGGGCACAGCUGCUGUGUAGGUGCCAGGGUUGAUUGCCAGCACCUGGGCCCAGCCUCCCACCAAGUCCUGGCCAGGGGAGCACCAUCCCUCGGCAGAAGCUAUAUAGACUAGUUUCCAGCAGGCAGCAACCUUUACUUCCUGAGGUAGCUCCACAGGAGAGGGCUGAGGUUCUUAGGUUGAAGCUCUGAACACCCAGCUGGCUACAUGCGCAGACCGUGAAGCAGAGAAGAGAUUAAGACCUGCUAAUGUGGCAUUCAUAUGUUCUAAACAUAUGUUUACAUCUGAGCAACUGAACCUGACUCUGCAAUUUGAGCAUAAUUUGAUGUUCCUUAUGCUGAAGUGACAGCUCCUGGGUGAUGUGUGACAGCACAGCCAAGAAAUCUGUACACAGGAUGCAUGUUCUCCGGCUGGAUAGUUCUCCAGGAAGACAUCUAGCAGAACUUCUGAAUGCAUGUAUAUUCUUGGAAACCUGUUCUACCAAAAAUAUUUGAACCUGAAAUGCCAGAUUCAAAUCCCAACAAACUGAUUUGUUGUCAACUGCUGUGCUCACGCUGCUUCAGAUGCUGUGCUUCUCCUGUGAGAAACCUGUGCAAGUUUCCAGAGUGUAAGAGAUUACUGCCGCUCGGGGAGCAACAUCACAGAUGCAGUGGAGAUAAGUGGAUUUGUGCCUUAAUGAUUCCCUUUAUUCCAUACUCUUCCCCUUUAAGCAAAUGAAAUCUGUAUAAGAAAUGACUCUAUAUAAAAUUAAAGUGGGGGAAGAAAGGGUUGAAAUAAUACUCAGAAAGCCAUUCUAAGCUAGGUGCAAGCCUACAAGUGAUGUCACCAAAUGAUACGUAAAUUCCCUGAAUUUUUACAUCCUUUCCAAAAGAGCUUUAUUCCCCCAGAGAAUUCCCUUCGUUGCUUGCUAUAGUUAGAUUUACAGUGAAUGUUUGUGUCGUAAGUCAUACUCUGCUGACCAAAGGAGUGGUUGCUAUUGACUGCAGUCAGAAGAGAUUGAAACUUUGGUUCCUUUUGAAAGAAAAGGAAUUGUUACUGUGCAGCAAAGCUGAUCAGCUGGGUGUGACAUUUUCUAUAACUGACAGGAGGCACUCAGAGGUGAAUGUCAGGGAGCCUGAAUCUGGGGAGCAGAGCAGCCACCAAGCUUUGGCAUCUCAGCAUUGGUUCAUAUAGACUCCUGUAUUUACUGCUGCACCACUGACUUGGCUUGUUAGGACUACGACUGCUGGUUCAGGGGUCUGCAACACCAGCGUGUCGAAAGAUGUGGGACUGUUUACAGGCUUAGCAUUAGGCGUACAUUUAAACAAUUCACUAAUUCAAGACUCUGAUCCCAGUUUUCUUCAUGAGAAAAAAAUAUUACUUUCUUCCGUAGCAUGCAGUCAGAUUUGCAUUUAAUCUCGUGUUGACUGAUGUGUGCUACCUGCCAGCAUGUAAAGGAAAUGCUUACAUACAAAUAACUACCUAAAAUAAAGGUAGGGAUGUGACUUGCUUCGCUAAUUCCCCAGGAUAUUUAUUUUAAAAAAAAUUAUUUUCAGAGCCUUUUAGUGCAUUGACCUUGUUUCGGGGUUUAGCUGGGAAGAGGGAGGGCUGGAGUUUUUUCUUAAGCGCUGCAGGGGAUUUCUGUCAGGUUGCUUUAACACUUCGUCUCAGAUUCUUGCCAGGCUUUUGGGCUAAAGAAUUUUCAAAUGCAGCUAGCCGUCGUCACAUAGCUCUUGCGUUUGUGCAGGAGUAUCUCCAGAAGUCUAUCAAAUAUGAGCUAAUGCUGAGAUACCAAGGUCCUGGUAGCUGCUCUUGGUUUUAUAAAUAGAAAAUUUACUUGGCUUUCACAAGAAGAGAGAGCAAAUGGACUUUAGAAUAAGGACACCAGAUAAGUAUCAUAAAUGCGUGCAUCACUUUUAAUGUAUCAGAUAUGGAAGUCGUAGUGACCACUCUAUGGACUGUGUCUGUGCCUUAUAGCAAUUCCCUGUGCAAGGAUGUGGAAUGUUGUUUUUCCUGUAAAGAACAGGAGAGCGGAGAAAGGGAUAUGCUAUGCUGCUGAAUUUUCCUUUCAAAACCUAAAGGUUUCUUAGCAGUAGGUCACCACUUUUAGAAAUCACUAAAAUACUCGUGCUCUACAAACACAGAACUCUUAGUUUUCUUUACCUCACUGAGCCGUGAGCCUAAAAGGUUAGCACUGCAAGGGCUGUUACCAGUACCUUUUGCUUUCUCUUCCUGCGUGUUUUCACAUACAUAUCUACAGAAAAUUAUACAAGAUAUAAGAUGCAUGGAAAAUACAAGCGUAUACUACCCAAAUCUCACUCUCCAACUAAAGCAUCGAUUGUUUGGUAACAGGAGGUACAUAGAGAUUUUUUUGGGGUGGAUUACUGAAUUUAAGUGCGUUUCAUGCCCCCAAAAUAACAGCUCACAUGUAGACCAUAGUUGUUCAACCUUUUGGCUUGUCUAGGCUGCACUAAGCCCAAGAGGAAUUGUCUUGGGCUGCAUAUAAAGUAUAUAAUAUAGGUAGUGUAUAUAGGUAACAAAUUUUUUUUUAAUAAUUUUUUUAGUAAAACAUUUUUAAAGGGCAACAAACACAUAAAACUAGUGGGUUGGACAAAUAUGAUCUAGGCCAUGAGAAGGUCCCACAUAUCCCUGGGCAGCAAUUUUGGAUUAAAGAAACUCUACUGAAAUGGCCAAUUCCUACUACUUCUUACAGUAUAGCAGGUAGAGCUGUUAUUCUCUCCUGUUACUUCCUGAUCUGUGAACUCAGUUCCUUGUUCCUCCACCAUUGCUUCUCAGUUUCACCCGGGGCUACACAUAUGGCAACUGGACACACAGUCCUACUUGCAGAUGGGGCUUCGGCUAAGUGCUCAGCUUUGCGGCGUUUCUGUGCUAAUCUCUGAAGGCUUUUGGAUACAACCCUGAGGCAGUGCACUUCUAGAACCCCUGCUUGGCCAGACAGAAGUUUGGCUUCCCUGGGGUUAAAUCCCAAGAAGAUUUCAUUGGCGGUUAAGUUAGAUGUAGGCAGGCGGAAGCGUACAGCACUGCAAAAUGUAACUCCUUUGCCCAUUGGUUUUACUAAUGCAUCAAGGAAGGGCUGGGGUAUUCUAACUGCAGUGUGAUUUCUAAGCAGAAAAAGAUGUUUGGAAAAAUCAUUCAUUUAUUAUAUUUUUCAGAAUAAAGCAAUCACAUCUUUCUUAGCAGAGAAUGGAAAGAAAGCUGUAAAUAUCACAGCUGUUCACUGGCAACUAGAAAAAAGAAAGUCAAAUUCAAAGCUUGCCACUUCUAUUCACAGUGAAGGACUUAGGAGUCAAAAGAAUUACAGGGCAUGUACAGCGUGAAGAGAAUAUUGCUGGUAAAAUUCUAAGGAUGCCUCUUAAAAUGCGCAAUUGCUCACCGUGUCAGCUGGAAUAAAGUUUGUCACAUUGUAUUUCUAGAUGCAAUAUGGUGAUAUAUGCAAUUUCAGUCACUCUUUCCAAAUUGUGGGCUUUAUCAGAAAUGCUCUCAUACCCUGAACUGUCUGCAUUUUCAUUAAAAGAAUAAAUGUUCCUGUCAUCAUCUUGGUAGGAAUACCAACAGGAAAUAAGCUACCUCUAAAUGAAAAGAUGCACUUUAUUGUUUGUGAAGCUGGGGAAAUAUUAGUCAAAAAUACAACUUUGCUGGCAGAUGGUUUGUUUGGAGUAUGGAGUUAGUGCCCUUGUAGGGGCCUGACAAAUAGCCUGGGGUUUCUGACAACACACUGGCAUCCUGGUGGCUGCGUGAUCUUACAAAGGGCAUCUGUGCCUCAGCUUCUUCAUCAGUAAAACUGUGAUAAUCAUUUUCUGCUGGAUUUUCCAACUAAUAGGCUUGUUAUGCCCUGCAAAGCACUCAGAGAUCUCCAAUUGGAACAAACUACAGAAGUGCAAAGUAUUAUUGCUAUUAGAAGUCCAUUACAGCUCUGUUUUGCUUUGUUCAUACUGGCCCUUUGGUACGUGCAGCUAGGCAGCUCCUAAUGUUAUCUUGAUGCACAAAGCACUUUUUGUGUGAGGUUUGACUCACACUAAAAUGCCACUUAGAAUUUUUUCCUCAGGAACUCACUGGAGCUUGGCUUACAGAAUCUGAAAAUUAAAUCAACCAAAAUAGGUCAAACACAAAACUAUAUGUCCUUAUGUGUCCUCUUGUCCUCUUUUAGCAGUACAGCGCGUAGUUGUUGUUUUCUUGUCUGUAAAGUUUGGGCCUGUUUUGUUCCUCAGCCAGCUUUGGUAAUGGUAUCUUGGUUACAUUUUGAAUACCUGCUCUUUAGAGUUUUCUGUUCCUAUCAAAUAUAGUUUAGAAUGAUAUGCUCAUCUGUUAGUGGUCUAGAAAUAAUGUGCCAAACGCACAAACAGCUGAUGCUACCGAACAUGAUAGAAAAGUGUAUCAUUCUGUUACAGUUUGUUGGUAGACAUCAUUACGGAGAUAUUUUUGAACCUUAAAAAAGGGAACAGUGUAUUGGAAAUUUAAUGAAAUGUUAACAGAAGCUGCAGUUUGUGAUUUACCUUUCCCUCAUAGCUAGUCCUUUAGGAAUUAUUCCUGUUCACGUAAUCCUUUAAGUUAAUGUAUUUAUUCUGUACCUGGUUUAUAAUUUCUAUUCAUUCAUAUGUCAAGUAGCUGAAGGUGCUGCUUAAAUUAGUGUUUACUUCAGUAUUAUACCUUUUUGAAUUGGUUGUUCAUUACAGUCCUAAUGCAGUGAAUAAAUGUCUUAAUAUUUGAAGUGGGAAGGGAGGUAAAAAGGGAAACUGUCUGCUCCAGUCACGGCCCAGCUUUCUGGUUAUAACAUAUUAUAAUUUAUUUAAGCUCAAUCAAUACUUAAUCUGGAGUUUAAAUUCCGCUAAAGAUCUGUGGCAUAGCUAAAAGCAGCUGAUGCCAAAGAAAAAAAAAAUCUCCAGGCUGUGAUUCUGAUGAAUUUAUAAUACGCUCUAAGGGUGAUGCAUUGACCUAAAUUCACAGAAGUGCUGCAAUUCGUAUUUAUUAUUGCAAAAGAUGUCCUACCAACACUUUUGUUCUUCAGAAUGUUGCGAGCCUGUGUGAGAAAGGUGACCAGCUGCAGAGGAAGGAGCUGCAUGUGCAGCUGGGGUCUCCCCACAACCCCCAGGGAGGGGUGGGAUGGGAUGGAGCACAGCCUGAGCCCUGCCAGCCCCACACCACAGACCGGGUGGUGGCUCACUGUAACCCCAAGAAUCAAGGCAGGAUUUAAUUCAGCACUGUGAAAAUCUGGCAAAUGUUUGAAGCCAGCAGUGAGGGCAGACUUCCUGAGAGGUGUGUGUUUGUGGUGACAAUUUGGAUUUAUUUUGCUGGAAAUGUGAAAGACAUUGUUACGGCAGGAAGAAGACAGUUGUGUUGAAAACUGCUUCUCCUUUUUAGUUUUUGGUUUGUUUUUUUUCUUCCCCUCUAGCCUUUCUGGGGAAAUAGAUUUCAAUCUCUGCAGGGUUUGGUUUUCUCUAUACAGCUCUUUAAGCUCCCCCAAGCACAGCCAUCUCAGGGCAGGGCCCAUGGGCAGCUCCUACCAGCACUGCGGGGAUGUGCACACGCCAUUCUCUUGUAAGGAUCAGGCAACUUCAUAUUUCCCAGUGCAUUUUGGCAAGCUUUUUCUCAGUGUUGUCCAAAAGCUUUUCAUAGUAAGUGAAUGACUUCCCAGUGACCUGAGCCCUCUUCCAAGCCUCCUUUGUCACCCUGACAGCUCGCAGUCAUGUUUUUCUGAUUUUGUGCAAAGCUAUACAUUUUACCAGAUUUAUAACUGCAGGAGACUUAGUUUUUCUAAAAAAAUAAAAAAUUAACUGGAUGAAUAAGAGAAAUGUAUAGUGAAUGAAGGCAGACAAUCAUCCCCGCUUCUUUUAUGAUGCGAUAUGAUGUCCCUCAUGAAAAGGGAGAAGAGCUCCAUUCUCCCUCCGAACUGACACGUGAACACUUGUUAGAUGUUGGUUGUUUCCCUAGGCAGUCUGUAAGGCAGGACUCACCCCCACACCGUUCAUCCCCAGUCCCUUCCCUGUGCACUUUUGGGGCAUCACAUCAGACACUCUCCCAGCAUAUCUCUUCUUGCUCUAUUUUGUGCCCACCUCUGCCCAUAUUGCUACCGUAGUCAAAUCCCUGUUGUGGUUUAUGCCAGAAUAAAUGUGGGUAGCAUAAAUCCUCAGGCUUGGAAGGCAUUAGCCUGCCUUUACUGUAGCACAGUCGACAGCUGUACCUGGCACCACGACCUCAUUCCACCCCAGCGCAGCAGCGUCCAGAGCCUUGCUGCACUGGAAGAGCAGAGCCACAUGCUUGCUGAGGUUUGUUCCUCUGGGCUGGCCUUGAGGAUGAGAACAGCAUGCAAACACAGCUUCUCAGCAGGAGCAACUAUUAGUUUCAGCUUUAACCUUUACUUAAAAAUAUGAAGCUGCUGAACAAAAAUGCAAAGACUUUCUGUUCAAACUAAGAGAGCUGGGCUCCUAGAACCAACUGUAAAUUUCAGUCUAGCAGCAAGAAAGUUUAUAUUCAACUUCAGUUCUUCUUCUAGCUAUAAUGCUCAAAGGGAGUACUUCAAGAUUCAGAUACCGGGGUUAUGAUACGUUUUCCUGCUGAAAAAGUGAAUUGGACGUACUGUACCCUCCCCACUCCCCAACAUGGCAACUUGGAACUGUAUAAACACAACUGCAGGUGAUGAGUGAUCAUUGGCAGAGUCAUAUCCAAAACCUAUAUCCUCUUUCAUAGUGUUUCACAUUAGGAGCACCUGCAGUUAAAAAUCUGGAAAAAAAUAAGAAACCAAGGAAGAUAACGAGAAGUUCCAAAAAAGGACUAAAGCUGUAUCUCAUUCCUCAUCAUGAUGAUCUGACCAAAUCUCCCCAAUAUGUUUUUAUGUUUCAUGCAAAGACUGGAAUGUUUUUUAGUAGUUUUAUUAGAAUUCAUGAUCUGUCUUGCUUUUUGUUAGGGAGAUGAAAAAAAAACACCACCGUUUAUCAUAACUCUUUAGUAUUUCUAUUAUGGACAGUAGAAAAGGGGGCUUCUGCUAGUUCAUGCAUGAGUUGAAAGAAAGGCAUAUUCCUUUCCCCACAGGAUCCCAAGCGGAAGAGUUGGUGGAUGGAUAAAAUAAAAAGAGGGUAUAGAUUGUGAGAGACAGGCUGACAAAAAGAAAUGAUGCAAACAUUUCUAUGCAAGUUUUUUCACUAAUCCAGAGUAGUAAUCGUAUUUUACUUACAUGCCUGAUCAUGUUUAAGUGCCAAUUUUCUCUCCAUAUAACAAAAGAGGUGACUUUCAAGAGAAAAAUUUGAAGGAGGUUGUGGUGGGUGACUGUUUUUUUUUUUAAUUCAGAAUGUUUUUUACCGAGUCAACAGACUAAUUUCUCUCCAUUGUUCACAAAGCUAUACAGUAUAUAUUUUUUUUCCUUCCCACUGUGCCAUGAAAAAACUUUUUGGCUUCAGUUCAUGUGUGAAACCUUUUGCACAACAAAGUGGUUUCUUGUGGCCAGUAAGACUAAAUGUUCUGAGCAUUCCAGGAAGCAUAUAAAUAGAUUGAUACUCUUCCUAAGGUUUUGGAGCUUUAUUGCUCCCCCCUUUUUUUUUUUUCUUUCUCCUCCUCUCCUAUUCCCCUACCUUCAGUUAUGCUCCCUCCAUCUAGGCAGAGACCAAGCAGAGUACAGUGUUUGAAAAUCCUGACUAUCAUUUUCCAUUUUCCUUGGGUUUUCCUUAGUUACAUUUUCUGAACAGAAAUUGUUCAAAUAAAUGCAACACAGUAAAUUAUCUUAAAUUACUUCUUACAGUCCAGACUAGUAUUAUAACAUGAAAAUUGUUACUUGGAGUCUCCCACGCCCCUGGCUGCUGCAGACCUAUGUCUCCAGGCUGGGGAGAAAUGGAUCACAGUACUUACCAAGCAGAGCCAGGAGGCCAAUCCACAGUGUGGAAAGUGGAGUUCACAUGAAGGAGGUCUCUUAUCCUUUCCUCUCAAUCCUGCUAGAUACAAAAGCUGUCACAGUGGUCGAAUAUAAUUAAAAUGGUGAUCUGCCACUGAAGAGUAGGCCAAUGUCUAUGCAGAAACCAGAUGAGAAAUUAUUCAAGCCAAAAACAUUAAAUCUCAGCUCAUCUGCGGUUACUAUAAAGCAGCCAUCCUGUUUCUUUGAUCUAUGAUGAAUCUGAACGUGUGUUAAUAAGACAUACAUGUUGGGCAUCAACGACGUCGUCUGUUGAAUGAGGGUAAACAUUGCAUUCGUCUCUGUAAAAUAUACUUCAGUAGUUGGGAAGAAAGUGGAGAUUCAUUAUUUUUGCAGUUGUAGAAGACAUUUAGCAGCUGUGUUUAUACUGGCAGACAAUUUGGAUAUUAGGUGGCAGGACAGAGAUCUGCAGAUGCACAAUAUCGUGCAGACAUUGUGCACUUACAGCACAUUUCCAGGGAAACAUGUUAUUUUAUAUUUCCCUUGGUGUCAUUAAUCACGUUUCAUGAUGUAUCUCGCUAUUUCAACUCCUUUCCUCUAGAUUCAUUCAUUUUUUGGCCUGUUUGUUUAAUAGUUAUUGAGCUCCAUUUCAACAAAUUCCAUCUUAACUACAGAUGAUACAGCUCCUUUUGCUUCAGGGGAGAAAAUUAAGAUGGCCCUGUACUGAUUUCAGAGACUACCUGUAAUAAUCAGCAUGUCUGCUACAUCAGAAAGAUAUUUUGUUUGCCUUUGGUCAGAAAAAUGUUCAUGCUGUUCUUUGCAACUUAAAAAUUAAACUCAUUUCCUGAAAGUAAAAAUAUGAUUCUUAUCUUGAACUAUAAAGGAAAACAGCUGCACUUUACUCUGUUCUCAAAGUUCUCUAAUCUCUCUGGAGGCUUUGUUUUGGUUUUACGGGUGAAUCCCUUAAACUGUAGCAGUGAUGAUGGCUAGUCCUUAGCAGAAACAUGCUGCGAAGCAGUUGGGAAUCCCCUGCUAGGGAACUGCAGCUUGAGCAACUUCAGUGUGUGAGAAGUAACCUCAGGCCUUUGAGGAGAGGCAAAAGCUCUUUUGUUUUUUUUUAGCAGUACUUUUACAUUAAAAUAACGGCACUACAUGUUCACAAGUACAUUUUGGCAUGUAAGUGCUACAGAAUGAGGAGUGCAAUCCACCUUACCCCGAAAGGGUCCCCUGCUGGCACUGCGCUCCUCCUGCAGCUCCCAGCCCUGGGAACAGUUCUGACAUAUCUCUGGCUGGGGGAAGACAAUAUCUGUUUCCACUACAGCAGACCCCGUUGUGCUGGAGACAAGCUGGUAAGGGACACAAGGCAGGUGCCAAAUGUUUGGUUCCUGCUGGCAGAAGGGCUCACUGUGCCCAGGGCUAUAUGGGAGGUGGGCAGCUCCCUGCAGGACUCACCUGGGAGCGACAGCCCUGACAGGCACACUGCUGCCCUGCUAGACAUGGCUUUACGGCUUUCUGUUGGUAAACAAAGAGAAGGAGUUUGACAGAUCUGAAAAGAGAAGAAAACCCAAAGAACUCGCUACAUGAGAAAUUAAUGGCUGUGCAUAGGGGAUGGCUUACCCAAGAUGGCAUGAUCAGCAGAUUGCUUGCAAAAACCACGAGCCCUGCCCAGUGCCCCAUCUCGUGACUGGUUUAGAAUGCUAAAUAUAACCAGGCAGUAUUUUACUUAGGGAUAAAUGAAAAGCAGAGAGAAAAUUGAACUCUGUUUAAGUUACAUGUGGCUUAGCCACACCUAAGGAAAUGCAACCUACUCUUACCCGUUUUGUUUUAAAGGAUGGCUAUGAAGAGGUUCUGUUCACUACACUGAAAGUGGCAAAGCAGUGUGCUCUGGGGAGUACUGUUCCUGAGGUAGUGCAAGCUGUGUGGCAGAGCGGGCCCCACACAUCUGAGCUGGGGCUGAGGUGAUUUGAGGCUGCAUUCAGGGUUCUUCAGAAUACUGAAGUCUCAAAAAGAGAUUUUCUCUCAGAAGGUCAUGGGGUUUGGAUGGGGGACGAGAGGACUCUGGUGAUCAUAUUUUUAUUUCUAGAAACUAAUAGCAUAUGUAUGUAUUCUCAAAGAUUGAGUGGCCUAUGAAGGUACGUUGGAAGCUGGUGGCAGAACUGGAAAAUUAAUGCAGUUCUGGGGAACUUGAUAGAAGUGCCUUAGUCUAAAAGGCAUUUAUACGAAGAAAAUAAAAUGUCACUAUUGUUCAUGCUUUUUUGGACCCCAUAAUUUUGCCUUCUCUAAAAUGUUUGCUCUUUCCCUUGAUGCCUUCUACAUCCUUCUGUCUUUCCCAGGCACCCAGGUUGAACUCUCUCACAUGGUGAUGGUUAUACAGUUAAUGCUUAUCCCAACUUGGUGGAAUCUGUCUCCAAGCGAAUAAGACUGGUGGCAAGGCUGGGAGUGCAAUCACCUGCUGGCAUAAUCCCUGGACUCUUCUUAAAGGAAUUCUAAAAAGGGAAACUUGGAAAUGCCUACCUGACUGUCCCAGAGAACUGCCAUCCAGAGGAGCAUCCUAUAGCAGCACAAGCAUUUCAUCUUCUGGAUUUGUGGAGACACGUAGGAUUUGUUGAUGCUGAAGGCAGGAAGAAGUCAAGAGGGAAAAAAAGAAUUGUGGGAGGAAUUACCUACAAAGGAAACUGGAAACUCCGUGGCAUCUGUGUCAUCCUUCUCUCCAGAUGGUGCCUCCAAAUCUCUUCUGAAAUGGCAUGUGUAGAGCAGAGUGUCACAGAGUACAUGUCAUUCAGCCCUCUGAUGGCAACGGUCAGACAACUCUGGGACAAACAGAACGCAAAAGCAGAAAUGAGGACUCGCAAAUGUGGCUGAAGAUGCCCAGAGAGCCGUGUAUCUAACAGCCAGAGAGAGGCAGAAGACGUAAGCAAAUGAAAAAAGUUUAAGCUGUUACUCUGAAACUGUUUGACUUGUACUGUGUGGCUUGAUACUGAUUCUUUAAAAAGAAUAUCCGAAAAGUCACUUAGUAAGGUGUUUUAAACAAGUCAGAAGAUUAAGACUGCACACAGAAGAAGCAGGAAGCAACUAACCCCGUAAAGACAUGCUAUGUACUCAUCCAAAUUCAUGUUUGAAUACUCAUGUCAUAAAGAUGAUGCCUUCUAAGAGACUACAUUUAAUCUCUUACUUACCAGGAAUAUUUUGUGUGAACUGAUUUUGCUUUUAUUCAAAUAGGAGAGAAUUUCUGGAAAGAUUAAAAAAAAUAAUUAAAAUACUAAACACUUAUUUUACUUAUAGCACCAAUAUAACAGAUUGUCAGAAGCUUUCUCUACAGAAAGACAGACUUCUGUUUCAUGGCUGUUAAAUAAGAGAAAAAGUAUUUUGUCAAUCCUAUCAAAUGUCUCAGUUUUCAGCACUGAAAUAAUGCCUACCACUGUUUUCUGCUGAUAAUUUUUAAAUCAAAAGAUGUGCCUUUUGACCACUUCUGUGUGCAGUUGAAGUCUGUAUGGCUAGUGCUUAUUGUGACCUUUGUGCUAGAGAAGAGAUGACAAAAAUCGUUAAAAAACUGAUGUUGCAACAUAAGAGAACACAGCAGUUUAAGAUGAACCCAUUUUAAUAUGUUUAUUGUGAUUUUUUCCCCUUCAGAGUAAAGCAGUAGAAUAAUGCCCAGCUGCAUGAUAAUAUUGGCAAGCAAGGCCGUGAAUUUCAACUGCAAACCCUAAACACUGAAUGUGCUGUGCUUUUUAAAGAAAUCCCCUUUUGUACCAGAUAUGUAAUGCCCUUUUGUGCUAGAGUGGUUUGCAUAAUAAUAGUUUUCUUUAGUUAUUCGUUGUCAUGUGAUGGAGCUGCAAAGUGAGCUAGGCAGUAACAGCAUAAAAGACAGCUUUCCAUUUUUCUCUAAUUUUUUGGAGAUUUUCUUGUCUUUUAAAAUGUAAAUACUUUUAACUAUCUUCAGAAAAGAUAUCCAAUUAUUAACAUUUCAGACCUAAUUGUUACUUUUCUUUAUAUCCACCUUCCUAUCUGAGCUCUUCAAUUUCAGAAGCAGCAGCGGUAUUACAUCCUUGGCAUUUAUGGGGAACCUCAAGCAUCUUAAAUUAAUUGGCCACACAAUCAUCUGGUGUAAAUCGGUGUAACUCUGUUCAGAGACAAUGAUACAAUGCUCAAGUCCCUAACUGUAGAACUACUUGAUUUUAAAAUCCAACUAAAAUUCAUAUUAUAAACUAUGUAGCCUGUACAGGAGUUGUACAUAGGUUACACUGCACCACUGCUAAGAUAAAGGUGCUAGCUGACUGAAGUCAUCCAAAAAAAUUAACAUCUAGGAUAUACCUGAGAACAAGCAUAAAAUAAAACUUGAAGAAUUUACUGAUAAGUUUUCCCGUGUAAAAUUUUUUAAGAUUCCUCUUGGGCUUUUCAAUGUGUUCUGAUCUGGGUCGUAAGGAAUGAAUAUUUCCCAAAGGAGAUAUAAUUACAUUGAAAUGGAGCUCAGUCUUAUUCACAGCGAAAGCUACAGAGGAGGACUAAAACCAGGGGAAGUUCCCCAGCUAAUGUUCAAUAAACUAGGCAUUAUUCUAACUGAUACUAUCAAGGGAUUUUUCCUUUGAAAUUGGUGGAAUUAUGCCAAGUUACUCUAGCUGUGAGUUUGGCCAUAAAUUACAGUAGGUUUUCAACCCCCGGCCUGCAACCGCUGCAAGGGACCAUUUCCAAGAAAUCCCUCAAAAGUAACAAAGGAAAGCAAGGCUAUUACAAAUUAGCUUAAAUUCAGAGUGCAGAGAGUUCGUAAUCUCACUGGAAAAUAUUUAAAGGUUUGUGAAUUGAUAACGGUCAAAAGCAGUCGGGCUAGAUUAUUUCAGAUGAGCUGACAAGGUGGAUUAACAUAAAACAACACAUUAUCACAUGUCAGCGGUGCAAAGAAUACCCAGGAAAAAAAGAACGCUCUGGAGCCCAACAGUCACUGCUUUCACAGCUCCAUGUGUCAGAGACCAUUAUAUACAGCCACCCUGCAAAACCUAGAAUAAAUCCUCGUAUCUCUUAUCAAUACAGCAAUUGUAUAUUCCUGUUUAUUAAAAUAUCUAAGAUCUGUCUUUGCUAAAUAGAGCAACAAGAAAUUUCACAGCUCCAGUGAACCUACCAUGAAUUAGUACCAGCGACAGAAAUACUUUCACUAAAACCAUGAAGGGAGUCCUGGAAUCUAGAGUAACUCUUGGAUGCACAGAACUGAAGGCUGUUAAAAGAUCCUCAGCUCCCCCAGCAUCUGAGCAUGUAGAAACUUGGGGACCUGGCUCUCCUUCUGGUCUGCACACCCGGCCUCAAGCCUGCAUUCCUGUAACAGCAUCUCCACUGACGGCAAAGCGCUCAUUCAGUAGAUCCCUUGACCAUUGAACUGCUGUGGUUUGAUUGUGUGAAACUGAGUUUCAACAUGCGAGAUACUGUUCAGAUUGUUCUGCAGUACAUUCUUCAGAUCCAGCAGCUUCAGCAGGAGAGAGUCCAUGGACUUUGGACUAACCAGAUCUCUGCAGCCAUCCCAUGAAAAACAGAUCCUUUCUUCUGGAUUCCUCAGGGUUCUCCCAGCAGCCAGCCCUGUUUACAGAAGUCAGCAUGAAUAGUAACAGGCCAUGGAGGAACCUUUUGGGAAGGCGCGUCACAGUGCUUUGUCAUCUGCUGACAAACCGGUGCCAGGACCAGAACUUUAUAAUAAAGUCUUCAGAGGAAAUUUCACAGCAGAUCAGGAAAUCUCAAAGGUCAGUUUUAGAAUCACAGAAUAAUUCAGGCUGGACAGGACUUCUCGAUGUCACCUUAAUCCAAACCCUGCUGAAAGCAGAUCUCACUACAUCGGAUUGCUCAAGGCUGUGGCCAGUCAAGCUGAACCCUCAAACGUGGAGAUUCUGCAGCCUCUGCUGAAUGCUGGUUACUGCAAGAUGAUGCAUCCUCUUCUGCCACUUCAGUCAUUCCGUAAACGAUUGUCAACUAAUCAGCAUGAGAAAAGGACUUCCUAGCAGCAGAGAUCACAGCCGAGGUGGUCAAAGACAAGCAGCACAGAGCCCACUGUUUAUCCAGGGGAACCGAGACCGCUGCUCCCACACUUUGUUGUGUGGAAUGAAGUCAGCCAUGUUGAAAUUGGGUUGUUACUGUACACUAAGGAUAAACCAUCAAAGUCAGAUGAUUUAACCUUCUGGCACUUCUCUAACCACUGAAGAGUUCCUGCCACUGCUAACUGGGUAUUGGAAAUGUUUUCAGAGAAAGCAGGAUUAUCCAGCAAAGUAAAGCUGAUGUUGUCUCCUUACAAAACAGGAAUAAUUAAUAAGCUUAGGUCAGCCCUGUCCCAAAGGAGUCUGAGUAAGCCCUAUUUCUUUUAGAUUUAUAAUGUAACAGAAACAAAUCUUGCCCCUAGCUACAGUAGUAUGAUUCUGGAGGAGCCUUGGGGUUUACUGCUGCUGUCAUUUCAACUGCUCCUAUUGCAGUGGAACAUAUCUGAUUUCAGCAAAGUUCAUCAUGUUAGCACCAUCUGUAAAAGACAAGGAAAAUUAGAAAUAAAAUUAGAGCCUAAAAACAAUGGAUUUACAGUAGCCAGAUAAGCACUUGCCCUCUACUUUUGUGUAACGUAAGAAUUCAAUACUGCUGAUCUUUGCAAGUAGCAGUGACAACUCAUAUACACUUCCUUUGGGCCUGCAAUAACCUGGAGGCUAAUUAACUGCGGAGAAGGCUUUUUAUAUUGCAGUUUAUAUUAAAUGAAUUCAGCUCAAAUCCGUAGAGACCAGUAAGCAUUUUUAGACAGUCUAUCUAAAUUUCACCCCAAAAGUAAUCAAGCUACAUAAGAUUCUGGCUUACGAGAUGUCCUGCAAUAAAGCAAGUAUUUAAGACAAAAAAAGCAAAUGAGGAAGGAAGGUAGACCAAUCUUCUGUCAGUAUGUUCUUCAUGACUGUGUCUCUCUCUUUGGAAAGAAAUAUCUUUUACCUCAAAGCUCUGUCAUACUGCUCUAAAGUGAAUCAUUUUAGAAGCCGAUACGAUCAAGUGAGGAGAGUACUGAAAAAGAAAGCAUACUUAGCACUCUAUUUCAUGGCUUACCGAAAUAUCUCAAUACCUCUCAACCAAAUCUGAAGAUGUACACUAACUAGAAGUAUGCACGCAGAACUCUGCAAUGCUACAGAGCAGAGCACAUUAGAUGUCAUCAAGGAAUUUCUGUGAGAGCAGUCAAGUCCUGCUUUGCUCACAAAAGCAAGAACUGGAGUGGACACACAUCAACACACCUGAAAAAGCAUAUGCCUCAGCCGAUAAGGAUGAUGAAAUGGCAUAUAGUAACAUCAUUUGCCACUCAAAUGGCAAAACGUCUUUAAAAAAAACCCUGUUCCUUCCAAAAUAAGCGCCUAGUAUGUCAAUAACAUCUGGUAUUCUCAACAGGAGCUCCUCAAGCCCACCUGCAUAAUUCACAUCUUGUUGGCAGAAAGGUACUAAACAGAGCAGAGCAUGCAUAUGAAUACACCACCAGCAAUUGCUUUACCCCAGACUUUUCAGAUAUCUUUAUCCUAAAUCCAACAUAAAGGAGUAGAUACCAGUGGGGUUUUACAAAAAAUAUAAUAAGAUAAACGUGUCCCAUAAUUACCAUCAGUAUGAGUCUAUUCUUUUUUAGGGUCAAAAUUUAUGCAGGGAGUAAGCAAGAUCUAAUAGCUCCUCCAGUUAUGACUCCACUCAUUCAUUAACACUGUUACAAUCUUCACCAGAAUAGCUUUAGCCACAAAUUAACACACAAACUGUUUACCAGUAGCCUCAGCUAUUCCCAAAUGGAGCCAAGCUGGUUCCAUUGUUCUUUCUCACAGGUCGGAUAACAUGAAAUUGAUGAGUUUUUAUUUUCAUACAUUCAGAAUGGAAUUGUGAAGUAGCAACGCUUUUAUUCAUUAACAAACGUUUGGCCCUAAGAUACAACUCCCCCUUCUAACCAUUUUUUUUUUUUUUUUUUAUAAUACAUACUUAGAAGUUCCUGUCUAAGCAUUAAAAUAAGUCUACUGUAUCCUGGAAUUCCUGUAUUAUGAAACCUCCUAUUACACCGUUCAUCUUGCCAGAGUGGUCAGUUGUCAUGAUAUCUCACCACUGGCAUUAUCCUACAUAUUACCACUGAGAAGGUUUAGGCUGAGUCCAGUGGACACAAAAACAAUGGAUAAAAAACACAAUUCCACAGUAUUCUUGGAAAGCAACAUCUGAAUCUCAUGAAUAAAAUGAAUGGUUUUCCAAAAAAAAAAAAAAGAGAAUUUCUGCUGUAGUCUAUCAGGAACUUUUGUUAACGAGGUACAGAUAGAUUUACAUUUUUAAAAAGCUUAAGAUUUUGGAUUCUUGCCAUUUAAAUAAUCAACUACUGUAUAAAUUACAUUGGCUCCAAACAAAGAGGCUGUCUGACUGUCUGAGUUAUGAAAGGACCAGGUAAAAGGAAGUGGAAAAAAGGACAAGCUAUAGAAUAUCUAUGAGUAAAAUGACUAAUAUCACUACGAAGCUGAGUUUCCAUUUCUUUGGUUUCUUUCAUGGAAAUUCAAAGAUAGAUAACAGGAGGACAGAUUCAGGAAGAAAAAUGAAAAGAGAGACAAAUCCUGCAAAGGAAGGUCAUAUUUACAAAUGCUUAAUAUUCCUUCAGUUUAUAGUAAAUGAUUCAUAAGGUGCUUUUUAAUAUUGAGAGUUUUUCAUGACUUCAUUGAAGACAUGGUCAAGAUUAGUAAUGAACUAAUUGCCAUAGGGAAAAAUGUAUUGCUAACAGUCUCCAAAAAUCUAGCAGUUUGGCUUCUAUGGGUAAAAAUGAGGUAAUGUAGCAAAGUCCUGACUAUGAGGAAACUUUAGCAGAUUUUAAGAUCGCAAUUAAGAUGCACGUUAUAUCCUGCGCUGUGCUGAAAGGGCUAUCUAACGCAGUUAAAAACUGCAUUAAAAAAACUAUCCAAUUUCUCUUUUCCUAUGUUUUACUAUUUUUUUUUUAAGUUCAAAAAUGUUUCUUAUUCCAAUAAUGUAACUUUUCCCUGUCACAUAGCUUGCAUUUUCCUCAACUUUAGUAAUGAAAAUAAAUCACUUUGCUUUUGAUUAAAGCCAGUUUCUCUUUCAGAUUUCUAUUCAGCAUCAGAGUGUAUUAAUUCUGAAUUCAUGGCUGGAAGUGAGGACAAGGAAGGCAAAGUGAAAUUUACUUUUUUUCUUCUAAUUCAUAGAAAUGUUUCUACUACUUUCUACUACUUUUCUGACUUACAAUUAAUCUGACGUAUUUGUUUCAACUGAAUAUGUAACAAAACAGAAGAACUUUCAGUUUAUGUUUCAUUUUCUCACCAUUUUUCUGCCUUGGUCAAAUAUACACAGAUCUUUUAACCAGCAUCUAAGGAAGUUAACAAACUCAUAAGCAAGGUAGAUACACGGGUAUAAAGCAAGAGCCAUCAGUCACUGGUUGAUAUGCUUUCUCUCAGCCCUCUAAGAACUUUCAAAUAAUAACAGAAAUAUGAGUAAAUUUCAGCCCAAGAAUCCCAAAGCAAAUACAAAAAUAUCUAAUUAAGCAUUUAGAUUUAGUUUGUGUUUGUGCGUUCCUUCUAAGCUAGCAGUUAUUCAUUUGGUCACAAACAUCAACACCUUUUUUCAUAUUGAAGUCUUCUCUGGUGGCCUAUAGCACUGCAGGAAACAUUUUGAUAUGGAUGUACAAAGUCAUUCAUUAAAACAUAUUUCAACAUUUAAGAGUAUGUUACUUUUCUAAAGUAAAGAUGCCCCUGGUAACCUCCUACUAGAGCAUUUGCAUUUCAUCUUUAACAUGAAUUAGUUGUGCUGCGACAUGACCCAAGCUGCACGCCGGGUAAGACUUGCUCACAAAUGCACUUCUGCUUGUUUCAUGCACAUAUUCAGAGCAGUUCUGUUUAAUGUCACCAUUUUCUGAAAUCAGGACUGCCUUCUUUGGUUACUUAGAGGGGAAUUUUAUCCCCAAAGCCACACACUGGUGUUGUUUGUAAUGCCACAGCUAACAUGCCAUUAACUCAGCUUCCAGGACAGUGACCGCAGAUGCAAGGAGCGGGCAAAUCCUGCACUCCCUCAGAGUGAUCAGGAAAACCAGAGAUGUAUACUUGAAUAUAUUUCCUUAAGGCAAAUUCAAAGUAUUUGAAUCUGUUCAAAUCUAUUCGUGUUCAGAAGACCUAACUACUUCCCCGUAACUGCAGCAAGCUCUUUCUUUAGCAUUUGGAGAAAAUUAAACUAAAUACAUCUUGCCAGCAACAAAUACUCAAAGGACAACUUUUGUUUUAAUUACUGUAGACAUAGAAAAAGGAGUUCUUUAAAGAAGUCUGUCAACUAAGAGCUAUAUAUAACUCCUGAGGAAUUCCUUAGUGAUUUUCCCGGUUAAACAGAUUUCCUUAAAAAUACAUUUGUUUGCUGCACAGACUGGAAUUACUGUAAAAUCAAAUAGUCAUUUUUUCAGAAGUCUGAUGUGACUUGCAGUGCUAACACAGCACAUAGUAAACAUACAUUCAUUGGACAAUUCAGUUUUGUCUUACUGAUCUUAAAAAAAUUAGUAGGCAUUACAGAGCCGAUGUUUCUAUCUGUUGAGAAAAGGACCAGAAUGAAGUGUUAACCACUGGAGUUGAAGCUCUCUUCCUCUCAUUGAUGUCAGUAAGCAUUUUUCCAGAUCCAGAGGCUUUCUGUUAUGUUCAGUGGUACUCCAUUCAGGGCUGUGAUAUCCACUGAAGCCAGAGAACAGCAAAGUUUGAUCUCUUUAGAGACUCGAGCUUCAGCUAAAUAACCCAGUGGACCAUUCUCCAAAUUAGCAUUGCAGACUAUGUACCAGCAGUGAGGGUACUACUAAGCUGCAAGUGAUCCGAGAGCUGCUCCAGAACAAGGAGAGCAACAGACCGUGCAAACUGCACACAGUCCUAGUUUUGUGCCAUUAUGAAGUAAAGUAUAGUUUUAACCUUUUGCUGCCUUCUAAAUUCUGGGAUGAUCUUCUUUCUCAGCUUUACGUUCUCCUUACUUAUUUUGUAAUUUUAAUAUCAAAAUUAAAUUUAAAAAAUGCUGUUCCAGUACUUAACUUUGUAUAGUGUUGCUUGGUAUAGAUUUAUAAUUGUAUGCUACUUUUAUUUUAUAGCACAAUGCCAGUCUGCACUGCUGUGAGGAUUAGUGAAGGACAUGCAAAUAGACAUUCACAGGGAUGAAUUCAGAGGUGGGCAACACAGACUGAGGAAAAGAUGCCCAGAGAGUCCGUAUUAAGCACACAAGUGAGCUCAAGGUGAGUAUAGGUCUGUCCAGCCCUUGGAGCUGCAAGGAGAAAAGCCUUCAUGUCCCACAGCUGGGAGCUCACCCACAGACCUUCCUCUCUAUACACAGCAGCAAUGGGCCAGGCAACUUCAAUGGGCUUAUACGUAUGCAUGUGCCUAGCUUCCUGUAAAAUCCAAGCAUUAAGAAGACAGAUUACAGCUGUUCCUUUUGAGGCAUGCAUGUGUUGAUUUGUGCCAUCAUUCAGUAAACUUGAAAUGCAGAGGAGCCCAAAUCUCUAUCCGGGAAAGUCUGAGGUUGUUUGCACCUGACAUUUCCACGUGUUCAGUGACAGAAAUAAGCUAAUUAUGAAGUUUGCGUUGGAAGACGGAUUCUCUUUUCCUGAGUUUUCCGAGGUGUCUGGGCAGAGGAAUUGGACUGCUCUAUCUCAACCGCAUUAGACUAAUCGACUUAAUGUGAAAAAUCUUCUAAUAGAAAGAAAGAAAUGGGUUUUUAAGUGCUAGGACAAUUCCACAUAAAAUUACAGUUUGCUUCUACAUCCACAGUAUGCAAACAGGUUCUUGCGAAUGUCCAACAAAUUGAAAAGGCUUUAAAUGUACUUUAUCCAGUUGUUUGUUGAACAGUAUUUACCUUUUGCCUUUCACAGGUUGAUAAAAAAUCUGAAUGUUUAAUAACAUCCUCCGAAUGUUUCAAUUUAAGCUUAUGUCCUAUUCUCUUAUAUAAAAAGUAUAGGUAUUUUGAAACUCUUUGCUGAAGACUCUGAGAUUGUCUAUACUCUGUGGCUAGCACUGAGCUGAAUGCCUAGCAUCCGCGCCUAGAAGAGGGGAACAACUGCUGCCCCUCCGAUCCGGCUAUUCUUGUAUCUGGAAACAUUGUCAGGUGCUACAAGCAUCACGCCAUCGGAAAGGCCAAAGUUGAGUACUACGUUAUUGGAGUAGAUGACACCUUAUUCUUAUUCUUCAACAAUUCUAACAACUUAGAGUCCCUCACUGUCCCUUUAUGAACACAGAUGUCAUUUUGAGGGGGGGACAGCCAAAAUGACAAGAAGGUGACCUGUCGGUGAACUCAGGAGCAGGUGAGGCCUGUCAGCUUCUAAUUUGAAACUGGUGUCAGUCCUGAGGAAUGGCUGGUAUAAUCACAUUUGUAACUGAUAUCCUAUAAACGCUGCAAACAUUCACAGUGCGCCUGUUAUGAGUAAUAUGAAAUUAACAAUUCGUGUUUAUGACACAAGACACCAACUGAAUCAAGUAGGUCUGCGUAACUGGAUCGGCCCCGUCUGUCUUCCACAGCAGCAGCACAUCGAACAGCUUCAGCCAAAGCCAAAUUACUGUGUGCUUAUGUUACAAUAGGCAUUGUAUUUAUUUUGAAGACAAACUUUUGUAACUAUGUGUAAAGUGAGGACCUCAGAACUAGCUUCCAGCUCAAGUUAUUGCAUUUAAAAUUUCUCUCACUCGAGCCCAGCCCUUAAGAUAUUUGUGAUUUUUGAGUUUGGGACCUAACAAAUCACGUAUUGUAUCUCAAAUUUUCUGAAUAACUGAAGGGAAGGCUCUGUGUAAAUCUUCUCUUUCAGACACAUAAAUUACCAGCUGCAUGAAUACUGCCAUUAAGACAUGCAGACAAGUGCAAGGGGUGGGGACAGGGCAGGAUGCCCAAAAGACGUGGAGUUACAGAGAAAACAAGGCAUUUGCUCACUGAGUAAUUUAUGCUUAAUCUGCCUUCACUGUAGCUGAGCAAGAAUGAACAUCACGAGGCAGCCUGUCAGGCACUCUCGUUUCACUACCACCAAGGCAUUUUUCUGCAAAUUACGUGUUUCCUUCCAAUAUCUAGUCAUUUCACCUGGAUUUUUUUUAUUAGGAAAAGUCAGAAUCGUAGUAUGUAAAGCUAAGAUUUGAAGUUAGGCUCAAGGAUAAACUGAAGCUAAGGUACAUUUCUCAUUUGAAGACAGCAAAAUCUCACAAUCUCUUGCACAAUUAUUUCCAGCCCAGACUGACAGAAGCCCUAAAUUCCAGUUCCUUUCCUGACUGUGCUGCUGCCAAGCUUGGUGCACAGAUUAGAACGUCCUUUCCAAUCACAUUCAAAAUAAAAGAAGAACCAGACAAUGAAUCCAUUGCAAUUAUUACACUGGAAUUUAGUUAGCGGAGCUAAACACAUGCGAGUCCAAAUCCCAACUAGCUAGCAGAGCUUUCUGAGCACUUCCAUUCUUCAUGUAGACUAUCCAGUGGAGCUAACAGCCUGCUGUAGUGUAAAUAGGCAAAUACCACUUAUUUCCAUUUUCUACAGAAUUGCACCCCACAGAGCUUCAGCGAUGUAACCAAGGCCACAUACGGCAUUACAGCUAUGGUUCAGGCACCGAUAUCCCUUGUCCUCUGGCCCAGCACUAACACAUCACACUUCUAACACGGCCUAGUUCAAGUUGCUGGCCAUGAAUACCACCUAAUUAGCAGAGUAAAAGUGCAAGUGUGAACAGUCAUUUUCAGAACAAUGUGCCAGCCCUGAUAACACCAGUGAAGCCAACCUACAAAACUGCUACAACCAGCCUACAAAACCCCAUCGUACCGGAGGAAAAGGAAAUGCCUAGCUCUAUAUUUUACGAUCGCUCUCCGCCAUCCAAAAACUCACCUC